AGUGAACGCUGGCGGCAGGCCUAACACAUGCAAGUCGAACGGCAGCACAAGAGAGCUUGCUCUCUGGGUGGCGAGUGGCGGACGGGUGAGGAAUGCAUCGGAAUCUGCCCAUUUGUGGGGGAUAACCUCGGGAAACCGGGACUAAUACCGCAUACGACCUACGGGUGAAAGCAGGGGAUCUUCGGACCUUGCGCAGAUGGAUGAGCCGAUGCCGGAUUAGCUAGUUGGGGGGGUAAAGGCCCACCAAGGCGACGAUCCGUAGCUGGUCUGAGAGGAUGGUCGGCCACACUGGGACUGAGACACGGCCCAGACUCCUACGGGAGGCAGCAGUGGGGAAUGUUGGACAGUGGGCGGAAGCAUGAUCCAACCAUGCGGCGUGUGUGAAGAAGGCCUUCGGGUUGUAAAGCACUUUUGUUGGGAGAGAAAAGCAGCCGGUUAAUACCCGGUUGUCAUGACGGUACCCAAAGAAUAAGCACCGGCUAACUUCGUG
rnacentral:rRNA from 1 species